GGGGAAUUUUCCGCAAUGGGCGAAAGCUUGACGGAGCAAUGUCGCGUGGAGGAUGAAGGCUCGUGGGUUGUCAACUCCUUUUGUCAAAGAAGAAACACUGACGGUAUUUGACGAAUAAGCAUCGGCUAACUCUGUGCCAGCAGCCGCGGUAAUACGGAGGAUGCAAGCGUUAUCCGGAAUUAUUGGGCGUAAAGCGUCCGCAGGCGGUCUUGUAAGUCUGUCGUUAAAGCGUGGAGCUUGACUCCAUUUCAGCGAUGGAAACUGCAAGACUAGAGUGUGGUAGGGGCAGAGGGAAUUCCCGGUGUAGCGGUGAAAUGCGUAGAUAUCGGGAAGAACACCAGUGGCGAAGGCGCUCUGCUGGGCCAUAACUGACGCUCAUGGACGAAAGCCAGGGGAGCGAAAGGGAUUAGAUACCCCAGUAGUC
rnacentral:rRNA from 1 species